rnacentral:rRNA from 1 species
CUACGGGGGGCUGCAGUGGGGAAUACUGCACAAUGGAGGAAACUCUGAUGCAGCAACGCCGCGUGGAGGAUGACACUUUUCGGAGCGUAAACUCCUUUUAUAUAGGAAGAAGAUGACGGUACUAUAUGAAUAAGCGCCGGCUAACUCCGUGCCAGCAGCCGCGGUAAUACGGAGGGCGCAAGCGUUACUCGGAAUCACUGGGCGUAAAGAGCGUGUAGGCGGAUUAAAAAGUCAGAAGUGAAAUCCUAUAGCUUAACUAUAGAACUGCUUCUGAAACUCUUAAUCUAGAAUGUGGGAGAGGUAGAUGGAAUUUCUGGUGUAGGGGUAAAAUCCGUAGAGAUCAGAAGGAAUACCGAUUGCGAAGGCGAUCUACUAGAACAUUAUUGACGCUGAGACGCGAAAGCGUGGGGAGCAAACAGGAUUAGAUACCCCGGUAGUC